AGAGUUUGAUCAUGGCUCAGAUUGAACGCUGGCGGUAUGCUUAACACAUGCAAGUCGAACGGUAACAGUCCCUCACCUAGAAAUUUCUUAAAAAGAGAUUUGUAGGUGAGGGAGCUGACGAGUGGCGGACGGGUGCGUAAUGUAUAGGAAUCUGCCUAGUAGUGGGGGACAACUCGGAGAAAUUCGAGCUAAUACCGCAUAAGCCCUACGGGGGAAAACGGGGGAUCUUCGGACCUCGUGCGAUUAGAUGAGCCUAUAUUAGAUUAGCUUGUUGGUGAGGUAAUGGCUCACCAAGGCGACGAUCUAUAGCUGGUCUGAGAGGAUGAUCAGCCACACUGGGACUGAGACACGGCCCAGACUCCUACGGGAGGCAGCAGUGGGGAAUAUUGGACAAUGGGCGAAAGCCUGAUCCAGCAAUACCGCGUGUGUGAAGAAGGCCUGAGGGUUGUAAAGCACUUUCAAUUGGGAGGAAUACCUAAUAGUUAAUAGCUAUUAGAUUGAC
rnacentral:rRNA from 1 species